rnacentral:rRNA from 1 species
CCUACGGGAGGCAGCAGUGGGGAAUCUUGCGCAAUGGGCGAAAGCCUGACGCAGCAACGCCGCGUGCGGGAAGAAGGCUUUCGGGCUGUAAACCGCUUUCAGCAGGAACGAAAAUGACGGUACCUGCAGAAGAAGGAGCGGCCAACUAUGUGCCAGCAGCCGCGGUGAUACAUAGGCUUCAAGCGUUGUCCGGAUUUAUUGGGCGUAAAGAGUUCGUAGGCGGUCGAGUAAGUCGGGUGUGAAAAUUCUGGGCUCAACCCAGAGACGCCACCCGGAUACUGCUUAACUUGAGUUCGAUAGGGGAGUGGGGAAUUCCUAGUGUAGCGGUGAAAUGCGCAGAUAUUAGGAGGAACACCGGUGGCGAAGGCGCCACUCUGGAUCGAUACUGACGCUGAGGAACGAAAGCAUGGGUAGCAAACAGGAUUAGAUACCCUGGUAGUCCAUGCCGUAAACGGUGGGCACUAGGUGUGGGAUUCUAUUAACGAAUUCCGCGCCGUCGCUAACGCAUUAAGUGCCCCGCCUGGGGGUAGGUACGGUCGCAGACUAAACUACAAGAAGUAGUAGACGNGNGAGAGCGACGACGACGACGACGGAGGAGGAG